AAGGUAAACCUCUACCUGUAGUGCCAGCAUUCCAUAUGGAUGCUUGUUCAUGUCCCAGCUGCUCCUCUUCUGAUUCUGCUCUCUGUCUGUGACCUGGGAAAGCAGUGGAAAAUGGUCCAAGUGAUUGAGCCCCUGCUCCCACGUGGGAGACCCUGAAAAGGCUCCUGGCUCCCGGUUUCAGUUUGCCCAGCUCCAGCCCAUGUGGCCAUUUGGAGUGUUUCAUUCUCUCUCUGUAACUCUACCUCUGAAAUAAAUAAACUCAAAAAAAGGAGAAAAUUCUAUUCAAUCCAUAACCUUAACUUAAUCCUCUGAUUGGAUCUCCUUUACAAUCUCCUGGACAACUCCAUUUCAGUUAGGUUGCCAGAGAAAAAUACAACUUGCUAAGUUAACUUUGAAUUUUUGAAAAUUAUACACACACACACACACACACACACACACCUGUUUGCCUUGGUCUAUGCCUGUACUGUACUAUUUCCUAUCAGGAGUAUCACAGCCAAAUUUAGUGAUGAGACCUCAUAAGACAUCCUGUAAUGUUCCGGGGCAUUUCUAAUUGUUAGGAAAUCCAUCAUUUUGUUAUAACAAAAUUGUCUUCCUCAAUGCAUUAACCUAUUUCAGUUUCAAUAGACAAUUUGAUUCUUGAGAGUAAAGCAAAAUCUCAUUCAUGUUGAUCUAUAGCAGUGACAGGCACAUGGACGGUUUUCCAUAACUAUCUGCUGAAUAUAAAUGAAUAUAAUUGCCUCUGGAACUACACUGUGUAAAAUGAGUCUCAGUCACAGUCAGUUUCUCAAAUAUGUUAUAGAGGUCUGCAUAAAUCUUGUCUUUUAUAUGGUGUUCCCAGUCCCUGAAGUAUUUUUUUUUUUUUAAUUUGAGAAUCAGAAUACCUGGCAUAGAAUAGGCAACUGAUAACAUUUGUCUACUAAGAAUUUCUGUGUACUCAGCUUAAAAUGAAAACUAUUGAUAGAGAAACUUAAUGCCAGAUAUGUCCCUCCCAGGAUUCAUGUGCCAGAAGUUCAGUCCCCAGUGUGAUGAGGUUAGGGGUGGUAGGACAUUUAAGAUGUAGGCUUUAGUGGAAGAUGUUUAGAUCAUGCAACUAUCACAAUGGGAAGAAAUCAGUGCUGACCUCAUGGACUGAGUUGUCAUGAGAGCCUGUUGAUAUAGAAAAAGCAUGAUGUGUCCCUUGCCACUCACUGGCAUCCUGUCUCACCGUGUGAUCUCUCUGCUUUGCAUAUGCUGCUGCCAUAAUUCCAUCUACAACGUUGUGGUGUAACUAGGAGACUGUUGUUAGAGCCAGCAGAUGCCAACACCAUGCUUUCAGGCCUCCAAAACUGUGAGAUGCCACAGUAGCUGCUGGCUGUGGAACCAUGGGUCAUCCCCAUGCCCUAGCUGCACAUCCUGUAUCACCUCAAAAGAAGGAAAGAGAGAGAGACCUUGUUUCCCCAAACACUGAAGAUUGAUGUUUAAAUCAGUGAUCUGUUGGAAAGGCAUGAGUGGGAUGCUCUUCUCCCAAAGCAUUAACUCAUAGCUUCCAAGAUGGUCAGAGAGCAAUAAAUCAUUGAGCGAAUGACAGCCUCAAGCAAAAGAAGUCAUCUCAAGAGACUCAUUUCUCUUGAACAUGUACAGGCAAUUUCACCAACCCUAAGGUGCAGAAGCACAUGAAUAUUGAAGAAUCUCACCUAUAGCAGAGGGCUAGAAACAUCACAAGACCUGGCUACACAGUACUUAGUAUUGUGGUUAAUGGGGAAUAAAAUAAAAGUAUAAAUAAGCCUCUGGUUUCUUUUUGGAUACUUGCAAACAAUCAAGGAUGGUCCUACCCACAGGCAACAUUUAUAAGAGUUGAAAAACCUUCAAAGAAUAGGGGUUUACAAAAAUUGAAUGACAAGGCUGACUUAAUAAACACCUAACAGUAAGGCCAGGCAGAUACAUAAAGGGAAAAUCUAAUAAAAUAAAUAAUAUCACAAAGAAUAACUUGUUAUUCAAAAAAGAAAAAUAUGAUAACAGUCUAUCGUGCAAAAAGAAGCUAGGGAUUUCUUCUAAGACAUUAGAGAAACAAUUAAUGAACAGUCACUGAGUUUUGUAAUUAAAAUUUUUCUCAAUAUGUGAAUGUUAUCAAGAGCUAUGAAACUAGGAAUGUAGUUCUAAAAGGAAAAUAAAAGCAUUAUUUUCUAGCUACAUCAUGUGAAUUACUAAGUAAGCCAGUCUAAAGUCUUUUCCUGAUUUCUUUCAUCUGUAAAUUCAACCUGAGAUGGAAUACAAGAUGGAAACAGCCAUUUUUCCCCAACUUAACAGUCAAAGGAGAAUGGAAGAUGGCUACACUGAUGCCAAUGUGGUGUUUUGAGGUCUCCAGCACAAAAAAAAAAAAAAAAAAAAGAUGAAACGACAUCUUAUUAUCAAUUAUUUUGUAAACAAUGUGCUUAAGGAAUGCUUACAUUUUGAAAAUUAUUACUAGUUUCUAUAUCUGAAAAAGGAAAACAGGUUACUUUGAAAUACCCUAUUUAAAUGAACAAAUUUGUAUUACACUACUCUGCUUUUUCUUAACCAGGAUACUUCAGAGUAGUGUUCCAAAUAGUUCACUAUCUUAGGAUCAAAGAGUAUAUAUUUAUUUCCUUUCUAUAUAGUUUAGCCAGCUUCAUAGUUUAUAUACAUGCCUAAUUGUAAGGUGGUUAAUUUGACAGCUAUAAACUACAGAAUGCUAAUUAUCUGCACUGCCUCCAAGCACUUGUAGCUGUAUAUUUAGAGCAGACUUUCUGUUUAAUAGUUUAGCAGAUAUCACAAACCAGUCACAACAAAAAUUUGGUAUAUUUAAUUUGUAGUGUUGAAAGUUUACCACUAAUUGGAGAGGUGAAUGAUAAUGAGGCCACAAGGAAGUAGAAUUUCCUUGUUUCUGAGCUAUAAAUGACACACCUAUCUAGAAUUAGUUGGCUCACAAAUGUAGAACUUUCAUCUGAAAGAACUUUAUGUUAACAUCCUUGUAAGAUAUGAAAUCAUAGAAAUCCACAUUUAACAAUAAUGUAAUACAUGUGUAUUUGGCCAUAAUAUUUCUGCUCUAGGAGAUGUAGAUACAAUAGUGAGCAAAACUAAGUGUUAGCUCUCAAAAAUGUAGGUUCUAGAUCAAGAAGACUGCCAAGAUGUGCAUAUCUGCAUACAAGCUUAAAAUGAGAUAUGGAAAAUAGAGAGCAAGGGAGGUAUGGGUACUAUAUUAUUGUAAAGACCAAAUGAGUCAAAGGGAUCACACAAACAAGACUAGUGUCUGCUAAUACUAACUGAUAGAAUAAAAAAGGGAGAGAACGAUCCAACAUGGGAAGUGGGAUACACAGCAGACUCAUAGAAUGGCAGAUGUCCUAAACAGCACUCUGGCCUCAGAAUCAGCCCUGAAGGCACUCGGAUCCGGCUGAAGAGCCCAUGAGAGUAUUUUAGGCAUGGAAAGCCAAGACACUCUGGGAAAAAAAAAAAAAAAAAAAACCUAAAUGAAAGGUCUCUGUGAGUGAGAUCCCAGUAGAAAGAAUGGGCCAUCAAAGAAGGAGGUACCUUUCUCUGAAGGGAGGAGAGAACUUCCACUUUGACUAUGACCUUGUCUGAAUAAGAUCGAAGUCAGCGAACUCAAGAGGCUUCCAUAGCCUUGGAAACUCAUGACUAGAGCCUAGGGAGAUUUCUGACGCCAUAAACAAGAGUGUCAAAUUGUUAGGUCAACAACAGGAGUCACUGUGUACUUACUCUUUAUGUGGGGUCUCUGUCCUUGAUGUGUUGUCCAAUGUGAAUUAAUGCUAUAACUAGUACUGAAACAGUAUUUUACACUUUAUGUUCUGUGUGGGUGCAAACUGAUGAAAUCUUUACUUAAUAUAUACUGAAUCGAUCUUCUGUAUAUAAAGAUAAUUGAAAAUGUAUCUUGAUGUGAAUGGGUGGGAGGGUAGUUGUGGGGGGUAAAAAGCCAUUGUAAUCCAUAAACUGUACUUUGGAAAAUUGUAUUUACUAAAUAAAAGUUUUUUAAAAAAGAUUAAAAAAAAAGACCAAAUGAGGUCUCUGCAGUAUUGUGAUAAUUUAGGGAAGACCUGAGUUAUGUAAUCAUGGCAAAGAACAAGAGCUAAGGUCAUGUGUUGUGGACUGUUUCUAACAUUUGGGAAAGAGCAAAGCAUUGAAUGUGAGUAAUGUGGAGUCAACGAAGGGGACAGGGAAUGAGGCAAUAUCACAGACAGAGCCGGGUUUGGAUCACAUAAAGCCUUGCGGGCUUUGGUAGGGACUUUGGAUUUUCUGUGAGUGAGGUGAGAAGCCUUAGGAGAGUUAUAAGCAAGUAAAGGCACGAUCUGAUUGAUCUUUCAAAAUAAUCAGUGUAUUUGGUGUGGAGAAAAUAGACUAUAGGGAAUAAAGAUAGAAGUAGUAAUUUAUUGCAAUAAUUCAGGGAGAGGAAAGUGGUUUGUCUAAGGUGUUAACAGUGGUGAGUUGUAGGAGAUAAAAGUUAGCUUGAGUGUGGAUUUAUUUUAAAGUCACCAAAAUCUAAGAGUAGGACUUCGUUCUGCUUUGUUCUCUUCCAUGCCUGUAGCUUCCAGAAAGUACCAGGAUAUAGAGUGUACUUAAUAAUAUCUUUAAAAUACAGAGUUAAGGUAAGGCUGGUAGACAAGACAUAGGGAGUGAGAGAAAAAAUGGCUUCCUCAAAGAAUCUAAGAUUUUUAGUCUGAACAAUGUAAAUGUGGAAAUAAUAUUUGUUCAGAUGGUUAAAAUUGUGUAGGAACAAAUUUUGGAGUGGGAAUGGAGAGUUUGGUUUUGUAAGUAAGAAGGUGGGUAUAUAAAAGUCAUGAGUUCAGGAAACAUCACAAUUCGAAGUGAACAUUUUGUAGUCUGUAAAAUAUAGAUAAUGCAUAAAACUGUAAGACUGGAUGAAUUCACAUAGAAGUACUAUACAUGACUGAAUACUACCCAGCCAUAAAAAGGAAAUGAAAUCUUGUCUUUCAGAGCAAAAUGGAUGGAACUGGAGACCAUUACACUUAGUGAAAUAAGCCAGUCCCCAAAAACAAAUAUCAUAUAUUUUCCCUGAUUGGUAGUAACUAAUACACAGAAUACAAAAAAUGUAAUGUAUAUGAGCAAAAUUGACAUUUUGAGAUUUGAUUAUUAUUCAUAAAUGUAUCUACAUCCUGAGAAACAGUGAUUUUUUUCUGUUUACUACUUGCUGAAUUCUUUAUUUAGUGGAAGGUUAAGUUGGUGAUCAUAAAGUAAAUUGAAAGUAUGUCAAAUAAAAAGAAAAAUAAGAAAGGAUUGAGGAGGGAAAGUGGGAAUGAUGGAGGGUAGAGUGGAAGUAUCAUUAUAUUCUUAAAACUGUAUAUACAAGGGGCCAGCAUUGUGGUAGAGUGGGUAAAGCUGCCACCUGAAAUGCUAGCAUACCAUGUGAGCUCCUGGCUUCAGUCUGGCCCAACCCCAGCCAUUGUUACAUAUAUAUAUGUAACUCUGACCUUCAAAUAAAUAAAUCUUAAAAAACUAUAAAUAUACAUAUAUG